rnacentral:rRNA from 1 species
AUUGAACGCUGGCGGCAUGCCUUGCACAUGCAAGUCGAACGGCAGCACGGGUGCUUGCACCUGGUGGCGAGUGGCGAACGGGUGAGUAAUACAUCGGAACAUGUCCUGUAGUGGGGGAUAGCCCGGCGAAAGCCGGAUUAAUACCGCAUACGAUCUACGGAUGAAAGCGGGGGACCUUCGGGCCUCGCGCUAUAGGGUUGGCCGAUGGCUGAUUAGCUAGUUGGUGGGGUAAAGGCCUACCAAGGCGACGAUCAGUAGCUGGUCUGAGAGGGCGACCAGCCACACUGGGACUGAGACACGGCCCAGACUCCUACGGGAGGCAGCAGUGGGGAAUUUUGGACAGUGGGCGAAAGCCUGAUCCAGCAAUGCCGCGUGUGUGAAGAAGGCCUUCGGGUUGUAAAGCACUUUUGUCCGGAAAGAAAUCCUUGGCCCUAAUACGGUCGGGGGAUGACGGUACCGGAAGAAUAAGCACCGGCUAACUACGUG